GCGUGAAUCUGCCGGGACCAUCCGGUAAGGCUAAAUACUCCCGAGAGACCGAUAGCGAACCAGUACCGUGAGGGAAAGGUGAAAAGCACUUCGAACAGAAGAGUGAAAUAGUUCCUGAAACCGUGCGCCUACAAGCGGUCGGAGCUCGUUAAUGAGUGACGGCGUGCCUUUUGCAUAAUGAACCUACGAGUUGCCUUUGCCGGCAAGGUUAAGUGUGACGACACACGUAUCCGAAGCGAAAGCGAGUCUGAAGAGGGCGUAUAGUCGGCAGUGGCAGACGCGAAACCAAGUGAUCUACCCUUGGCCAGGUUGAAGGCUGGGUAACACCAGCUGGAGGACCGCACCAAUAAGCGUUGAAAAGCUUCUGGAUGAGCUGAGGGUAGGGGUGAAAGGCUAAUCAAACUUGGAGAUAGCUCGUACUCCCCGAAAUGCAUUUAGGUGCAGCCUUGCGGGUUACUGAUGUGAGGUAGAGCGACUGAUAAGAUGCGAGGGCUUCACCGCCUAUCAAGUCUUGACAAACUCCGAAUGCGCAUCAGUUCUACCGCAGGAGUGAGGGCAUGGGUGCUAAGGUCCGUGCCCGAGAGGAGAAGAAUCCGGACCACCUGCUAAGGUCCCGAAAUGACAGCUAAGUUAAACUAACGAAGUCUGACUGCUAAGACAGCUAGGAUGUUGGCUUGGAAGCAGCCAUUCAUUUAAAGAGUGCGUAACAGCUCACUAGUCGAGGAGUCGGGCGUGGAUAAUAAUCGGGUAUGAAGUUGUCUACCGAAGCAGUGGGAUCAUUUAUAUGAUCGGUAGGGGAGCAUUCCAGUCAGCGUCGAAGGCGUACCGUGAGGUAUUCUGGAGCGUCUGGAAAAGCAAAUGUAGGUAUAAGUAACGAUAAAGGGGGCGGGAAACCCCCUCGCCGAAAGACUAAGGUUUCCUGAUCAACGCUAAUCGGAUCAGGGUCAGUCGGGUCCUAAGGCUCAGCCGAACGGCGAUGCCGAUGGCAGAAACGGUUAAUAUUCCGUUACUACCUUCAGGAGUGACGUGGAGACGCAGUAGUGACAGUGCCGCCAUCUGACGGAAUAGAUGGUUGAAGGGUGUAGGAGUCGAUCAUGGCAGGCAAAUCCACCAUGAGAUCCGAACCUGAUAGUAUGCCGCGUCCUUCGGGACAAGGCAAUAGUGCGCGUAAGCAUGCUGCCGAGAAAAUCCGCUAAACUUAAUCCUGCAGGUACCCGUACCGCAAACGGACACACGUAGUCGGGAUGAAUAUUCUAAGGCGCUUGAGUGAUUCACGGUUAAGGAACUAGGCAAACUGACCCUGUAACUUCGGGAUAAAGGGUCCCUACCCUUUUAUGGGAGGGCGCAGAGAAUCGGUCCAGGCAACUGUUUAACAAAAACACAGGGCUGUGCCAAAUCGAAAGAUCCAGUAUACAGCCUGACACCUGCCCGGUGCUGGAAGGUUAAGAGGAGAUGUCAUCGAUGAGAGAAGCGUUGAAUUGAAGCCCCAGUAAACGGCGGCCGUAACUAUAACGGUCCUAAGGUAGCGAAAUUCCUUGUCGGGUAAGUUCCGACCUGCACGAAUGGUGUAAUGAUCUGGACGCUGUCUCAACCGUGAGCUCAGUGAAAUUGUAGUAUCGGUGAAGAUGCCGAUUACCCGCGAUGGGACGAAAAGACCCCGUGAACCUUUACUAUAGCUUAUCAUUGAAUCUGGGCACGUGAUGUGUAGGAUAGGUCGGAGGCUUUGAAGCAGGUACGCCAGUAUUUGUGGAGCCGCUGUUGAAAUACGACCCUUUAUUUGUUUGGAUUCUAACCCGUGGAACGGGGACAUUGAUUGGUGGGUAGUUUGACUGGGGUGGUCGCCUCCAAAAGCGUAACGGAGGCUUCUAAAGGUGCCCUCCGGCCGAUUGGUAACCGGCCUUAGAGUGUAAUGGCAUAAGGGCGCUUGACUGGGAGACUAACAAGUCGAUCAGGUAGGAAACUAGAGCAUAGUGAUCCGGUGUUUCC
rnacentral:rRNA from 1 species